rnacentral:lncRNA from 1 species
GAUGUUAGGUCUCUGAGAUCAUAGUAAUGCAGUCAGCAAUGAAACCUACCUGGUUAAUUAGAGAAACACAGCUCCAUCGAUGUAAGAGAGAGGUCUGGGCUGCCGAGUGUCUGACGGGACAAAUCCUUCCAACGGCCGCAGCAGGUGCUUCUUCUAGCCCUGUGUUGCAAUGACGUGCAGCUCCCGGGGAUAACUCAGGAACGCCGCUGACGCCAUCAGGAGGCUCAACACCCUCACCCGCUUACGCUACGACCAGCAAAAGCAAACCCCGCAGCUGCCUGCCAGCCGGGAAGAAGGACUGUGUUUCCAUGUUGUGAGUCUCCUCAUUGCAGCCAGAUGAUGAAUUUGCUGCUGGCUUUGUGCGAAACCGAGAAAUACCCAGCGUCCAACUGAGGGCCCGGGUAGCAACAAAAUCAAGCUGAUGAAUUAAAGAAAUAUGGCCUGGUCAGGAUGCCUGGAGGCCUCAG